GAGCGGUAUCGUAAAACCUGGUGACCCUGGUCGCCAACAGGCGUCCUAGCUGCUUCUGAAAUGAAGCGGGAACCCAAAGUAGACUGAAAUCCGGGCUCAGGUGGAGCCGUUC
rnacentral:ncRNA from 1 species